rnacentral:rRNA from 1 species
GGAUGAACGCUGGCGGCGUGCCUAAUACAUGCAAGUCGAACGCUUUGUGGUUCAACUGAUUUGAAGAGCUUGCUCAGAUAUGACGAUGGACAUUGCAAAGAGUGGCGAACGGGUGAGUAACACGUGGGAAACCUACCUCUUAGCAGGGGAUAACAUUUGGAAACAGAUGCUAAUACCGUAUAACAAUGACAACCGCAUGGUUGUUAUUUAAAAGAUGGUUCUGCUAUCACUAAGAGAUGGUCCCGCGGUGCAUUAGCUAGUUGGUAAGGUAAUGGCUUACCAAGGCGAUGAUGCAUAGCCGAGUUGAGAGACUGAUCGGCCACAAUGGGACUGAGACACGGCCCAUACUCCUACGGGAGGCAGCAGUAGGGAAUCUUCCACAAUGGGCGAAAGCCUGAUGGAGCAACGCCGCGUGUGUGAUGAAGGGUUUCGGCUCGUAAAACACUGUUGUAAGAGAAGAAUGACAUUGAGAGUAACUGUUCAAUGUGUGACGGUAUCUUACCAGAAAGGAACGGCUAAAUACGUGCCAGCAGCCGCGGUAAUACGUAUGUUCCAAGCGUUAUCCGGAUUUAUUGGGCGUAAAGCGAGCGCAGACGGUUAUUUAAGUCUGAAGUGAAAGCCCUCAGCUCAACUGAGGAAUUGCUUUGGAAACUGGAUGACUUGAGUGCAGUAGAGGAAAGUGGAACUCCAUGUGUAGCGGUGAAAUGCGUAGAUAUAUGGAAGAACACCAGUGGCGAAGGCGGCUUUCUGGACUGUAACUGACGUUGAGGCUCGAAAGUGUGGGUAGCAAACAGGAUUAGAUACCCUGGUAGUCCACACCGUAAACGAUGAGUGCUAGGUGUUUGAGGGUUUCCGCCCUUAAGUGCCGCAGCUAACGCAUUAAGCACUCCGCCUGGGGAGUACGACCGCAAGGUUGAAACUCAAAGGAAUUGACGGGGACCCGCACAAGCGGUGGAGCAUGUGGUUUAAUUCGAAGCAACGCGAAGAACCUUACCAGGUCUUGACAUCCCUUGACAACUCCAGAGAUGGAGCGUUCCCUUCGGGGACAAGGUGACAGGUGGUGCAUGGUUGUCGUCAGCUCGUGUCGUGAGAUGUUGGGUUAAGUCCCGCAACGAGCGCAACCCUUAUUACUAGUUGCCAGCAUUUAGUUGGGCACUCUAGUGAGACUGCCGGUGACAAACCGGAGGAAGGUGGGGAUGACGUCAAAUCAUCAUGCCCCUUAUGACCUGGGCUACACACGUGCUACAAUGGCGUAUACAACGAGUUGCCAACCCGCGAGGGUGAGCUAAUCUCUUAAAGUACGUCUCAGUUCGGAUUGUAGGCUGCAACUCGCCUACAUGAAGUCGGAAUCGCUAGUAAUCGCGGAUCAGCACGCCGCGGUGGAAUACGUUCCCGGGUCUUGUACACACCGCCCGUCACACCAUGAGAGUUUGUAACACCCAAAGCCGGUGGGGUAACCUUCGGGAGCCAGCCGUCUAAGGUGGGACAGAUGAUUAGGGUGAAGUCGUACAAGGG